rnacentral:lncRNA from 1 species
UUUCCUUCCUGGAUGGUGACUGUGGAUGGUAGUUUCCUUCCUGGAUGGUGACUGUGGAUGGUAGUUUCCUCCUGGAUGGUGACUGUGGAUGGUAUGUCAUUCCUGGAUGGUGACUGUGGAUGGUGGUAUCACUACCUGGAUGGUGACUGUGGAUGGUAGUUUCCUUCCUGGAUGGUGACUGUGGAUGGUAGUAUCAUUCCUGGAUGGUGACAGUGGAUGGUAGUUUCCUUCCUGGAUGGUGACAGUGGAUGGUAGUUUCCUCCUGGAUGGUGACUGUGGAUGGUAGUUUUCCUUCCUGGAUGGUGACUGUGGAUGGUAGUUUCCUUCCGGGAUGGUGACUGUGGAUGGUAGUUUCCUCCUGGAUGGUGACUGUGGAUGGUAGUUUCCUACCUGGAUGGUGACUGUGGAUGGUAGUGUCAUUCCUGGAUGGCUACUGUAAAUAAUGGGUCAGAGUUAUACUUUCCUUUAUGAUGUUAUUAUAUGUUUGUAUUUUCACUGUCUUGCACUGAGGCUGCUGGUCCAAGGACCAAAUUGAAUAACAAGUCUCCAGACCACUGGUCUGUCAUCAGACAUUAAUUAACACAAGUGGGCCAUGGAACCCACCGUGUAACCUGCAAAUGUAGGCCUUGCUUAAUCAUUCUGGUGGGCACUGCAAACAUUUGUAGACAUUUGUAGUCUCAUCUGUGAUCUCGCUGUAACCAUCCUACUCUGGUGCUGUAGGACUGGCUUCUCUGCACCUUCACUCAGGAACAAUUCCUUGAGGUAGAUUGGCUGCACUACCUCUAUCAGGAAGAAAGCCUACACAAUGAUCUUCAG